AAAAAUAAAUAUGUUACUAAAAA
rnacentral:snRNA from 1 species